rnacentral:rRNA from 1 species
GGGUGCGGCCAUGCUAGUACUAAUGUACCGGAUCGUAUCAGAACCCCACAGUUAAGCGUGCUUGAGCGAGAGAAGUAUUAGGAUGCGUGACCUCUUGGGAAGUCCUCGUGUUGCACUCC